rnacentral:rRNA from 1 species
CCUGAAUCAGCAUGUGUGUUAGUGGAAGCGUCUGGAAAGGCGCGCGAUACAGGGUGACAGCCCCGUACACAAAAGCGCAUGUGCUGUGAGCUCGAUGAGUAGGGCGGGACACGUGAUAUCCUGUCUGAAUAUGGGGGGACCAUCCUCCAAGGCUAAAUACUCCUGACUGACCGAUAGUGAACCAGUACCGUGAGGGAAAGGCGAAAAGAACCCCGGCGAGGGGAGUGAAAAAGAACCUGAAACCGUGUACGUACAAGCAGUGGGAGCACCCUUUGGGGUGUGACUGCGUACCUUUUGUAUAAUGGGUCAGCGACUUAUAUUCUGUAGCAAGGUUAACCGAAUAGGGGAGCCGGAGGGAAACCGAGUCUUAACCGGGCGUUAAGUUGCAGGGUAUAGACCCGAAACCCGGUGAUCUAGCCAUGGGCAGGUUGAAGGUUGGGUAACACUAACUGGAGGACCGAACCGACUAAUGUUGAAAAAUUAGCGGAUGACCUGUGGCUGGGGGUGAAAGGCCAAUCAAACCGGGAGAUAGCUGGUUCUCCCCGAAAGCUAUUUAGGUAGCGCCUCGUGAAUUCAUCUCCGGGGGUAGAGCACUGUUUCGGCUAGGGGGCCAUCCCGGCUUACCAACCCGAUGCAAACUGCGAAUACCGGAGAAUGUUAUCACGGGAGACACACGGCGGGUGCUAACGUCCGUCGUGAAGAGGGAAACAACCCAGACCGCCAGCUAAGGUCCCAAAGUCAUGGUUAAGUGGGAAACGAUGUGGGAAGGCCCAGACAGCCAGGAUGUUGGCUUAGAAGCAGCCAUCAUUUAAAGAAAGCGUAAUAGCUCACUGGUCGAGUCGGCCUGCGCG